GAUGAAGAACGUUAGCGAAAUGCGAUAAGUAAUGUGAAUUGCAGAAUUCAGUGAAUCAUCGAAUCUUUGAACGCACCUUGCGCCCCUUGGUUAUUCCAAAGGGCAUGCCUGUUUGAGUAUCAUGAACACCUCAACUCUUGUGGUUUCCCACAAUGAGCUUGGACUGUGGAGGGUUUGUUGGCCCUGUGGUCAGCUCCUCUCAAAUGGAUCAGCUUACCGGUGUUUGGUGGCAUUACGGGUGUGAUAACUAUCUACGCUCGUGGUCGUCUCCAAAUAACCUCCAGUGAUGGAGGUUCGCUGGAGCUUAUAAAUGUCUCUCCCCAGUGAAGACAGCCUUUGAACGUUCGAUCUCAAAUCAGGUAGGACUACCCGCUGAACUUAAGCAUAUCAAUAAGCGGAGGA
rnacentral:misc_RNA from 1 species